rnacentral:lncRNA from 1 species
UCAUCUUUGCUUAUGCAUACUCUCUACUCGCACAUAGCCGAGUCAAUAUAAUUACACAACAAAAUAUUCAAACAUAUGUGAAUAUCAACAUAAUGCAGCAGCAUAGAGAUCCAUGAUAACCACAUGUCAUAACAUAAAAUUGAUUUAUCAAAGGCUUGUUCCCAAGGCACUUGUUUUAACAAAAGUUGUAUAAAAUCAUUCAAAUAUUUUGUACAAAAUGGUCAUAUUCCCAAAAUGAUUUUGAUAGGCAGUCCACUCAUCGGUAUAUUAUUGAGCCUUUAGCUGAUUUUAAAUCCCUUAAUAAUCCAAUUGGGGUGAUGGGGCUUCUUUAGAACCUAGAAUCACAUUAGCAUAAGCAAUAGGUCAAUUCACACACUAUAAACCCUAAAAGCUAUCUCUUAGCUAGCUUUCAAUUGUCACUUUAAAUGGCUAUCUAUGUUCACUAUCUUAAUCACUAUAAAAUGAAUGAACAUACUCAACAAUAAAACAUCUCAUAAUCCCAAUUACUAGCCAUUAUUCAUAGCUAAAAAUCAAGCUUAGUUCAUCACUUACCCUAGGGCUCUUUUGUAGUUGAAUUCUCUUCCAAUAGCUUCCACACAAAUAGGAUAAUUCUCUCUUUCUCUCUCUAGAACGCCCAACUAGUGAGAGAAAGUAUGAAAAUAAGAUUUUUCAAGGGUUUUAAGGAGAGAGAGUGGAAGAAUACAAGGGUUUUAGUCAUAAAGGCACAAAGGUAUGAAAACUAGAGCUAGAGAGAGAAAAUCAUGCAAGCUCCAUAUCAAGCUUCCAUGGAGGUUGGAAGCAACGUGAAAGAGAAGAAGAAGAAGAA